GCCUUCGUGGUGUAAUGGUCAGCACACUCGACUCGUAUUCGAGAGGUCCGUGGUUCGGAUCCCGGCGUGAGCA
rnacentral:tRNA from 1 species